UGGAGAGUUUGAUCCUGGCUCAGAUUGAACGCUGGCGGCAGGCCUAACACAUGCAAGUCGAGCGGUARCACAGAGAGCUUGCUCYYGGGUGACGAGCGGCGGACGGGUGAGUAAUGUCUGGGAAACUGCCUGAUGGAGGGGGAUAACUACUGGAAACGGUAGCUAAUACCGCAUAACGUCGCAAGACCAAAGAGGGGGACCUUCGGGCCUCUUGCCAUCAGAUGUGCCCAGAUGGGAUUAGCUAGUAGGUGGGGUAACGGCUCACCUAGGCGACGAUCCCUAGCUGGUCUGAGAGGAUGACCAGCCACACUGGAACUGAGACACGGUCCAGACUCCUACGGGAGGCAGCAGUGGGGAAUAUUGCACAAUGGGCGCAAGCCUGAUGCAGCCAUGCCGCGUGUAUGAAGAAGGCCUUCGGGUUGUAAAGUACUUUCAGCGGGGAGGAAGGYGAUAAGGUUAAUAACCUYAUCRAUUGACGUUACCCGCAGAAGAAGCACCGGCUAACUCCGUGCCAGCAGCCGCGGUA
rnacentral:rRNA from 1 species